CUAAUAUUAAAAUAAAAGUCUUGAUUUAUUUAGUAAUUGUUUAUUUUUAUAAUCAGCUAUCUAUGAUCACAAAUGUACCUACAGUACAGUAUGAUAAAAAGCGAAAGUAUUAUAAAAAAUUUAGUUUUCAUAAUCCGGCAAUUGAAUAUUGGAGUUAUUGUCAUAUAUAUCACUAUUAUUUUGAUGUCUGGAUAUAGGAGUAGGUAUGUAUUCUAUAUGAGUAGUACCAUAGUUUGGUUCGGUGUUAUAUUGUUGUUCGGGCUUAUUAAAUGAAGAAAAAUUGUGUAAAGGAUUUCUUCUUUCGAUAGUUGUAUUAUGGGUUCUGGCAACAGAAGUUGGUGCGUAUUGCUGAGAUGAAUGAAAUUCAUUUGAAAUAUCGAAUCCUGAACUUGAUGUCGAAGGACGACUUCGCUGCACAACUGAACUUAACUCCACAUUUUCCAAGUGCUUUAUUUCUGCAUCAGUAACAAUACGUAAAACAUCGCGUUUUAUUUCAGCUUGUAAUUUUGGUGACAAAGUCUUCGCUGUUGCCGCCAUUGCUUGAAAAAAUCUCUCCAUAGGAUGUUGUUCCUUCUUUUGGUUUUCAAUGUAUUUUUUUAAUAUUUCUGCUGUUGUUUCUGUAUACUGUGUUUGCGAUGACAUGUAUGAUCGCUGACGAACAUGUCUAGUUGGUCUAGAAUCUGAUGCAUGGGAUGAACACGACAUUUGAGAUACAGGCGAUUGUGCUUCAGGAAAAUUAACAGUUGAUGCUGUUUUGGGAGGUUGUGUAUUUUCGAUAUUCUGCGUAUCUUCGGAAAGCUGUGUAUCGUCGGAAGAAGAGUCUAAAUUUGAGAGCUGAGGUCUAUCUUGAAAAAACUUUUGCAGAAAUUCAAGUUCCUUUUCAAAUUUAAUUGGUCGCUUCUUUUUUGCAGCGUCACCGCUUUUGGACACCCUGUUUUUUAAGGCUUUUCUAUAAUUGUUACGGUACGUUCACACGGAGACACGAUUUGCCGAAUCUUAUUUUCAUCGGAUCUGGAAAAACCGAAUGUUGUAUUCACACAGCACAUCUUGUUUGGCCGUAUCCGACGGCCUCGUAUCGGGAUCUCGUGUGAACUCACCAUCCGGCUUUUAUUAGCAAGAGCGCGCACAGUUCCUCACGUUGAUUUGGAAGCGAUGGACGUGAACAGUCUUGCUAUACUAUACUGGUAUUAUCGCCGUCAGCGUCGUAGAAAAAGAUUGUGGUUAAACCCAAUAGUACAAAGAAGAUCAACAGUUGGUGCCUUUACAACUCUAAUGCAGCAGUUAAGAAAUGAUCCACAAAAAUUUUUUAACUACUUUAGAAUGACUAUACCUACAUUUGAUAAUCUUUUGAAAAAAGUGGAAAAAGAUUUGAAAAAGCGUGAUACAAAUAUGAGGAAAAGCAUUAGACCAGAAGAAAAAUUAGCGAUAUGUAUAAGAUAUAUGGCUUCUGGGUGUUCAUACAAGGAUUUACAUUACGCCUACCGAGUCGGAGUGUCUACGAUCAGUAACAUUAUUAAGGAAGUAACGAAUGCUAUUUGGAACAAUUUGCAUGGGGAGUUUAUGACAUUACCCAACACAAUAUCUGACUGGGAAUAUAUCGCCAAUGGAUUUAAUACUAGAGCAAACUUUCCCCAUUGCAUUGGUGCAGUGGACGGUAAACAUAUUAGGAUAAAAAAGCCAAACAACAGUGGUUCCAUGUUUAUGAAUUACAAAGAUUUCUUUUCCAUCGUAUUAUUAGCAGUGGUUGAUUCAUAUUAUAAAUUUACAUACAUCUGUGUGGGCUCGUAUGGAAAAGAAUGCGAUUCGACAAUAUUCAAGGAGUGUACUUUUUGGAAAAAACUAAUAGAUGGUGAUUUGCAAUUACCGGCAGCAUGUCCACUGACAAACGAUUCCGAUUUAUCGAUUCCGUUUGUAGUAAUAGGCGAUGAAGGUUUUGGCUUGCAUCAACAUUUGAUGAGACCUUACGGCGGAAACCAUUUGGAUAGAAACAAAAGAAUAUAUAACUACAGAUUAACCAGAGCUCGACGCUAUGUUGAGUGCGCCUUUGGGAUAUUAGCUAACAAGUGGCGAAUAUUUCAUCGUCCACUGGAUGUUGAUACCAGCACAGCAAUAUCGAUUGUAAAGGCUUGCACUGUACUUCAUAAUUUUAUAAUAGAUAUGGAAGGUGUACAGUCGAACAUAGAAACAACAAGCAAUGUAUCAUCAGUGGUUAACGUGUUCACAGAUGCACCCAAUGAACAAAAUAGUACACGAGGUGGACGAUGUGCUAAUGUUAUACGAUCUGAAUUCACAAAUUAUUUUAUUUCUACAGCAGGAGCUGUGCCUUGGCAAGACGAAUCAAUCUAACGUUAAUUUUGUAACACACUGCUAAUGUACAAAUACUUAACCUGUUUACUUUAAAAAAUUACAAACUUACCAUAAUCCUGCCUGUUUUUCUCCUCCAUUUCUUCAAAAUCUUCAUUUAAAUUUAUACAUAUUUCUCGCCAGCCAGCAGUUCUCAAGUUUUUAUCCUUGUAUAUUUCGAGAGUUUUGUCCCAUAAAACUGGCCGAUUUUGGACAAGAGAAAUUAAAUUUUCAACGUUUAUAUUUUUCGUCGUCAUAGCGAGCGGUCAGUCAAAGCGGGCGAAAAGAACUGGCGACUGGCAAGCGCACGUGCAGUGUGUCCCUCCCGCCCACCCCUCCUUCCCAGCUUGUGCGACGCAUUCGGUUUCAAGAUCCGACAAAAAACCGAAUCUACCCCUGCGUGUAUCGUAUGAACGCAUCUAUUGAAUGCCCUAUACCACUGUAUCGGAUCUGCAUUUUGCAGUAUCGCCGGAUCGGUUUGUAGUCGCAAAAUCGGAUGUCAACUUCAGCAAGAUUCGGCUUUUUUGUCGUGUCUUGAAACCGAAUGCAUGUGUGAACUCCUUCAUUGAAAUACUUAUGCCACUAAACCGAAUCCUGCAAAAAACCGAUUCGGUAGCACGCCGUGUGAACGUGGCGUUACGGCCCGUUCACACAUGGGAGUCCGUUUUACUGGUACAUUUUUAACGGAUACGUCAUAAAUUUAUGCUCUGUUCACACAUAGGCACCGUAUAACGUUCAACGGAUCCGUCAUUACUGGAUGCGAUGUGUGAACAGAAAACUCGCAGUAUACCGCCGCUAUUCUACAAGGAUGGACGCUGUCGUGUUGUAUUGGUACUAUCGUCGGAGAAGGAAGAUUCGACGUUAUUGGCAGCAUCCACUUAUGGCCCAAAGAUCUAAAGAGGGUGCUUACAGUUUACUUAUGAGUCAGUUACGAGGUGAUGAAUCGAAAUUUUUCAAUUACUUUCGUAUGUCGAUGUCUACUUUUGAUGAACUUCUUAAACUAUUGGAAAAGGAUUUAAAAAAGCAAGAUACUCGUUGGAGGAAAAGUAUCUGCCCAGAAGAAAAACUAGCGAUAUUUUUAAGGUAUGCAGCAUCCGGGUGUUCAUUUAAAGAUCUUCAUUACACCUAUCGCGUUGGUGUAUCGACUGUUAGCAACAUUAUUAAAGAAGUUUCAAGAUGCAUAUGGAACAAUUUAAGUGUAAAAUUUAUGCGACUUCCUACAUCCGUCGACGAAUGGGAACAGAUAGCAAGUGGAUUUAACAAAAAAGCUAAUUUUCCCCACUGUCUCGGAGCUGUCGACGGAAAACAUAUCCGACUUAAAAAACCACUAAAUAGCGGUUCACUGUAUAUCAAUUACAAGGAUUUCUUUUCCAUCAUAUUAUUAGCGAUCGUAGACUCCGACUAUCGCUUUGUAUACGUCAGUCUCGGAUCUUAUGGAAAAGAAUGCGAUUCAUCAAUAUUCAAGGAGACAACAUUUUGGAAAAUGAUGCUAGACGGCAGUCUACAAAUACCAGCACCAUGCCCAUUAACAAGAGACUCAGAAACGCGAGUUCCUUAUGUGGUCAUUGGAGACGAAGGUUUCGGAUUACACGAAAAUUUACUAAGACCGUUUGGCGGGACGCAUCUGGACAAAAAUAAGCGAAUAUUCAACUAUCGUUUGACUAGAGCUAGGAGAUACGUUGAAUGUGCCUUCGGUAUCUUAGCUAAUAAGUGGAGAAUAUUCCAUCGGCCUCUAGACAUCGAUAAAACAACAGCUGUAUGGACUGUUAAGGCAUGUACUAUUCUACACAACUUUAUAAGGGACAAGGAGGGCUCAAACAGUGAUAAUAACGUAUCUGAAGAAUUUAGUUUCGAAAACCUACCCCAUGAAGUAAGAACACGAGGUGGUAAUACUGCUAAUUUAGUUCGAACAGAAUUCGUGAACUAUUUCAUGUCCAAAGCUGGAUCAGUUCCAUGGCAGGAUGAAGCUAUUUAGAAUGUAAUUAAAUAAUAAAACAGACACUUACCGAA